rnacentral:rRNA from 1 species
GAUGAACGCUGGCGGCGUGCCUAAUACAUGCAAGUCGAGCGAACAGACGAGGAGCUUGCUCCUCUGACGUUAGCGGCGGACGGGUGAGUAACACGUGGAUAACCUACCUAUAAGACUGGGAUAACUUCGGGAAACCGGAGCUAAUACCGGAUAACAUGUUGAACCGCAGGGUUCAACAGUGAAAGACGGUCUUGCUGUCACUUAUAGAUGGAUCCGCGCCGCAUUAGCUAGUUGGUAAGGUAACGGCUUACCAAGGCAACGAUGCGUAGCCGACCUGAGAGGGUGAUCGGCCACACUGGAACUGAGACACGGUCCAGAAUCCUACGGGAGGCAGCAGUAGGGAAUCUUCCGCAAUGGGCGACAGCCUGACGGAGCAACGCCGCGUGAGUGAAGAAGGUCUUCGGAUCGGAAAACUCUGUUAUUAGGGAAGAACAAAUGUGUAAGUAACUAUGCACGUCUUGACGGUACCUAAUCAGAAAGCCACGGCUAACUACGUG